GAUGAACGCUGGCGGCGUGCUUAACACAUGCAGGUCGAACGGUGAAGCAGGAGCUUGCUCUUGUGGAUCAGUGGCGAACGGGUGUGUAACACGUGAGCAACCUGCCCCUGACUCUGGGAUAAGCGCUGGAAACGGCGUCUAAUACUGGAUAUGUGAUGUGACCGCAUGGUCUGCAUCUGGAAAGAAUUUCGGUUGGGGAUGGGCUCGCGGCCUAUCAGCUUGUUGGUGAGGUAAUGGCUCACCAAGGCGUCGACGGGUAGCCGGCCUGAGAGGGUGACCGGCCACACUGGGACUGAGACACGGCCCAGACUCCUACGGGAGGCAGCAGUGGGGAAUAUUGCACAAUGGGCGGAAGCCUGAUGCAGCAACGCCGCGUGAGGGAUGACGGCCUUCGGGUUGUAAACCUCUUUUAGCAGGGAAGAAGCGAAAGUGACGGUACCUGCAGAAAAAGCACCGGCUAACUACGUGCCAGCCGCCGCAGUAA
rnacentral:rRNA from 1 species